rnacentral:rRNA from 1 species
UACGUAGGGCGCAAGCGUUAUCCGGAAUUAUUGGGCGUAAAGAGCUCGUAGGCGGUUUGUCGCGUCUGCCGUGAAAGUCCGGGGCUCAACUCCGGAUCUGCGGUGGGUACGGGCAGACUAGAGUGAUGUAGGGGAGACUGGAAUUCCUGGUGUAGCGGUGAAAUGCGCAGAUAUCAGGAGGAACACCCAUGGCGAAGGCAGGUUACUGGGCAUUAUCUGACGCUGAGGCGCGAAAGCGUGGGGAGCAAACAGG